rnacentral:rRNA from 1 species
CCUACGGGGGGCUGCAGUCGAGAAUCUUCGGCAAUGGGCGCAAGCCUGACCGAGCGACGCCGCGUGCGGGAUGGAGGCCUUCGGGUUGUAAACCGCUGUCAGUGGGGAGGCCUAUCCGCAGAGGAAGUCCGGGCUAAGUUCGUGCCAGCAGCCGCGGUAAGACGAACCGGACAAACGUUAUUCGGAAUCAUUGGGCUUAAAGGGUGCGUAGGCUGUGCAGUAAGUUGGAUGUGAAAUCUCUCGGCUCAACCGAGAAACUGCGUCCAAAACUACUGUGCUUGAGGAAGAUAGAGGUGAGCGGAACUAAUGGUGAAGCGGUGAAAUGCGUUGAUAUCAUUAGGAACACCUGUGGCGAAAGCGGCUCACUGGGUUUUCUGACGCUGAGGCACGAAAGCUAGGGUAGCGAACGGGAUUAGAUACCCUUGUAGUC